rfam:Pseudomonas alcaligenes NBRC 14159 DNA, contig: PA6006.
GGCACAUCGUUUGCUUGGUCCACCGCAACAGGCUGACACCAACGGCGGUGACAGCGCUCAGACAAUGGCGUCGU